rnacentral:tRNA from 1 species
AUUUAUUUAGUAUAAAAGUACAUUUGAUUUCCAAUCAGAAAGUCUAAUCUUUAGAAUAAAUA